rnacentral:siRNA from 1 species
CGGGUCCAUCUUCGACUUCUG